UACGAAGGAUGCAAGCGUUAUCCGGAUUCAUUGGGUUUAAAGGGAGCGUAGGUGGCCUUAUAAGUCAGUGGUGAAAUCUCUGGGCUUAACCCAGAAAUUGCCAUUGAUACUGUAGGGCUUGAGUAUAGUUCCGUUGGCGGAAUAUGACAUGUAGUGGUGAAAUACAUAGAGAUGUCAUAGAACACCGAUUGCGAAGGCAGCUGACGAAACUAUAACUGACACUGAGGCUCGAAAAGUGCGGGGAUCAAACAGG
rnacentral:rRNA from 1 species